CAGUCGCCGCGGGAAUACGAAGGGUGCAAGCGUUAAUCGGAAUUACUGGGCGUAAAGCGUGCGUAGGCGGUUUGUUAAGCCUGUUGUGAAAUCCCCGGGCUCAACCUGGGAAUGGCAAUGGAUACUGGCAAGCUAGAGUGUGUCAGAGGAUGGUGGAAUUCCCGGCGUAGCAGUGAAAUGCGUAGAGAUCGGAAGGAACAUCUGUGGCGAAGGCGACUAUCUGGGCCAACACUGACACUGAGGCACGAAAGCGUGGGGAGCAAACAGGAUUAGAGACCCGCGUAGUCCCUGUCUCUUAUAC
rnacentral:rRNA from 1 species